AAAGCGGGCCAGGCAGCCGCGGCCUUUUUCGGCGAAAGCCGCGAAAGGGCGAGGAAAGUCCGGACUCCACAGGGCAGGGUGAUGGCUAACGGCCAUCCGUGGCGACACGCGGAACAGGGCAACAGAAAGCAAACCGCCGAUGGCCCGGCGAGAGCCGGGAUCAGGUAAGGGUGAAACGGUGCGGUAAGAGCGCACCGCGGCUGCGGCGACGCAGUCCGGCACGGUAACCUCCACCCGGAGCAAUUCCAAAUAGGCAGGCACGCAUCGCUUCGGCGAUGCAGGGCGGGGCCCCCGUCCGUCUGCGGGUAGGAAGCUUGAGCGCGUCAGCAAUGGCGCGCCUAGAGGAAUGGCUGCCACGCGCGCGGUGCCGCAAGGCCCCGCGCGCGCACAGAAUCCGGCUUACCGGCUCGCUUUGCCA
rfam:Paraburkholderia caryophylli strain Ballard 720 genome assembly, contig: Ga0139045_101